UAUCAAACAUAUUUCCUGAAGAUGAACCAAACCUCUCCAAAUCAUCCCCUUUUUCAGUUCAUAAGUUGCAUCAUGUCAUGUGUCUCUCCACUUUCAUCUUUUUCGUGGGAAAUUACUGUCAUUACUUUGUUUCUUUUUGUACAAAACUAGCUUAUAAACCUCCUAAAGUACCUUGGUUAAUGGAGGUCACACAAGUCAAUCACUUCACCUGGUUAAAAAGGGUUUGCUUAAUGACUCAAAUUAAUUGCUCAAACUCUUUUUAACUGCUUUGACUUCUAUUUUAGUUUUUCAGAAACACAUGCUUGCAAAUCCCACUUUUAACAAAUCACAUCAGAUUACAUUACUCACCCCCCUUGAUCUUACAAUUUAAUUUUUAUUUUUGCUUUUAUAUUUUACUUUGGACCGACACUGGUCUAAGAUUCCAAGGCUUCAUUUAAGGCUAGCUUUACUUUCAAAACUACCUUAUCCCUUAUCCUAAUCUACCAAUAUCUUCAAGUGUCGGUCACAUGGUCAAUCCAGUAGCAAACAACUAGAAAUGCAUACGUCUCGACAGUAAGCGGCCUUACAGUUCAAUCAAUCUCUAUGAUUCCUUUGUCGACAGUAAUCUCAAACCCAUGAUCGUGGACAUGAUCCUUAAAAUGCUCCUUUUCUUUGUUUUUGGUAAAGGGAGAUUUACAGCGAUUACUUUUAUAACGAAACAUACACGUCUUAAAACAGACAGAAAGGCAAACCUGUCAGAGUUACUGAUUCACUUGCUUCAGCUUCAAGUUAUAUCACUCAAAUCAAAUGAAGUUUCCAGGAAUGACACUGAUAAGGAAUUGUAUAUUUCACUAAAUAAUGUUUUUCUUAGUAUAUGAUAAUGUCAUUUACAGUAACUUGAUUUUGUAACAAAAACUUUAAAAUUUCAAUAAGUUUAAUCUGCCAUGCAUAAGACAAUCCAUGUGUAUUAUUGGUUUUUCCACCCAUCAUAUGGUAUAGAGCCGUAUAACUUUAUCUAUCUUGCUUCGGCAAACGGGGCAUAGUCCAUUUUUGGCCUUUAUCUCAUUUAAGCAAGACAUGCAACCAGCCAUAUGACCACAGGGGAUGCAUGCACCUUCUACCAGAGCUUCCCAACAUAUUAUACAAGAGGAAGAACCAUCUCCUUUAGCAUCAUUUGUGGUUGAGGCUCCAUGAUCUGUUGUUGUCGUAGCAGGCAAAUGCACUGGAUUGAAAUCAAUUGAAGGAUACUGACUUGGUUCUUCAACUAAAACAUCAUCAGGAAUUGGUGGAGCAGAUGGAGACAUGGAAGCAUUGAGUCCACUUGUUUGGACAUGGGCAGGAGGAUCCAAGAGGCUUUGGAGACUUUGUUUACCAGUAGGUCUAGAAUCCCAGUCGUUCUCUUUUUUAGUUCGUGCACCCAUCCAACCACUGUGAUCUCCAAGGGUUUGGACAGAGGGUCCAGAAUCUAACACACCCCAACCAUUGUAAUCCUUUCUGGUUGGUCCAUCCAUCCAUCCUGUGUUACCUAGCUCUGAA